rnacentral:rRNA from 1 species
GCCUUGAUGUGUAGGAUAGGUGGGAGGCUUUGAAGUGUGGACGCCAGUCUGCAUGGAGCCGACCUUGAAAUACCACCCUUUAAUGUUUGAUGUUCUAACGUGGACCCGUAAUCCGGGUUGCGGACAGUGUCUGGUGGGUAGUUUGACUGGGGCGGUCUCCUCCUAAAGAGUAACGGAGGAGCACGAAGGUUGGCUAAUCCUGGUCGGACAUCAGGAGGUUAGUGCAAUGGCAUAAGCCAGCUUGACUGCGAGCGUGACGGCGCGAGCAGGUGCGAAAGCAGGUCAUAGUGAUCCGGUGGUUCUGAAUGGAAGGGCCAUCGCUCAACGGAUAAAAGGUACUCCGGGGAUAACAGGCUGAUACCGCCCAAGAGUUCAUAUCGACGGCGGUGUUUGGCACCUCGAUGUCGGCUCAUCACAUCCUGGGGCUGAAGUAGGUCCCAAGGGUAUGGCUGUUCGCCAUUUAAAGUGGUACGCGAGCUGGGUUUAGAACGUCGUGAGACAGUUCGGUCCCUAUCUGCCGUGGGCGCUGGAGAACUGAGGGGGGCUGCUCCUAGUACGAGAGGACCGGAGUGGACGCAUCACUGGUGUUCGGGUUGUCAUGCCAAUGGCACUGCCCGGUAGCUAAAUGCGGAAGAGAUAAGUGCUGAAAGCAUCUAAGCACGAAACUUGCCCCGAGAUGAGUUCUCCCUGACUCCUUGAGAGUCCUGAAGGAACGUUGAAGACGACGACGUUGAUAGGCCGGGUGUGUAAGCGCAGCGAUGCGUUGAGCUAACCGGUACUAAUGAACCGUGAGGCUUAACCUU